GACGAACGCUGGCGGCGUGCUUAACACAUGCAAGUCGAACGGAAAGGCCCUGCUUUUGUGGGGUGCUCGAGUGGCGAACGGGUGUGUAACACGUGAGUAACCUGCCCUUGACUUUGGGAUAACUUCAGGAAACUGGGGCUAAUACCGGAUAGGAGCUCCUGCUGCAUGGUGGGGGUUGGAACGUUUCGGCGGUUGGGGAUGGACUCGCGGCUUAUCAGCUUGUUGGUGGGGUAGUGGCUUACCAAGGCUUUGACGGGUAGCCGGCCUGAGAGGGUGACCGGCCACAUUGGGACUGAGAUACGGCCCAGACUCCUACGGGAGGCAGCAGUGGGGAAUAUUGCACAAUGGGCGGAAGCCUGAUGCAGCAACGCCGCGUGCGGGAUGACGGCCUUCGGGUUGUAAACCGCUUUCGCCUGUGACGAAGCGUGAGUGACGGUAAUGGGUAAAGAAGCACCGGCUAACUACGUG
rnacentral:rRNA from 1 species